UACGUAGGGGGCAAGCGUUGUCCGGAUUUAUUGGGCGUAAAGAGCGUGUAGGCGGUUAGGUAGGUCCGUUGUGAAAACUCGAGGCUCAACCUCGAGACGCCGAUGGAAACCAUCUAACUAGAGUCCGGAAGAGGAGAGUGGAAUUCCUGGUGUAGCGGUGAAAUGCGCAGAUAUCAGGAAGAACACCCGUGGCGAAGGCGGCUCUCUGGGACGGUACUGACGCUGAGACGCGAAAGCGUGGGGAGCAAACAGG
rnacentral:rRNA from 1 species